UACGUAGGGGGCUAGCGUUGUCCGGAAUCAUUGGGCGUAAAGCGCGUGUAGGCGGUCCGGUAAGUCCGCUGUGAAAGUCGGGGGCUCAACCCUCGGAUGCCGGUGGAUACUGUCGGGCUUGAGUACGGAAGAGGCGAGUGGAAUUCCCGGUGUAGCGGUGAAAUGCGCAGAUAUCGGGAAGAACACCCGUGGCUAAGGCGGCUCUCUAGUACGGUACUGACGCUGAGACGCGAAAGCGUGGGGAGCGAACAGG
rnacentral:rRNA from 1 species